rnacentral:lncRNA from 1 species
CUAGCCUUUAAAUCAGUUAUGUAGCUGAAGAUGCUUUUAACAGCGGAAGGAAUUACAGGUGCACCCAAGCACACCUGUUCUUUUUAUUGUUGACAUUUUGAGACAGACACCUGCUAUAUGGCCCAUGCAACAUUGGACUAUAUAGGCUAGACUAACGGUAAGCCCCAGUCCUUCUGCCACAGUACCCUGAGUGCACACACAUACUGUGUAUGUGACAAUAAAGAAUGGACUUGAGGCGGGAUCACAGGAGUGGGAGAGAAAGUAAUGAGACAAUGUGCUCAUGUUUAAAGUCUAAAAAAAAAAAAACAAAAAACAAAAAACCUCAGUAACAAGAGAAAAAACAACCCAAACUAAACAAACAAUAAAAACACCCUGAAAUUUAUAUCCAGUAGACAGCAACCCCCUUCCCCCACUCUUGGCAAUUACUAUUUACUUUUUAUCUGCAGUUCUGGCCACUUCAUAUAAAUGGAACCUUCGUGUUU